GGGGCCGUAGCUCAGCUGGGAGAGCGCUAGGUUCGCAAUCUAGAGGUCGUGGGUUCGAUCCCCAUCGGCUCCACCA
rnacentral:tRNA from 1 species